rnacentral:rRNA from 1 species
UAUCCAUGAGCAAGUUGAAGCUAGUGUAAGAACUAGUGGAGGACUGAACCCAUAGGCGUUGAAAAGCCCCGGGAUGACUUGUGGAUAGGGGUGAAAGGCCAAUCAAACUUCGUGAUAGCUGGUUCUCUCCGAAAUAUAUUUAGGUAUAGCGUUGUGUCGUAAUAUAAGGGGGUAGAGCACUGAAUGGGCUAGGGCAUACACCAAUGUACCAAACCCUAUCAAACUCCGAAUACCUUAUAUGUAAUCACAGCAGUCAGGCGGCGAGUGAUAAAAUCCGUCGUCAAGAGGGAAACAACCCAGACUACCAGCUAAGGUCCCUAAGUCUUACUUAAGUGGAAAACGAUGUGAAGUUACUUAAACAACCAGGAGGUUGGCUUAGAAGCAGCCAUCCUUUAAAGAAAGCGUAAUAGCUCACUGGUCUAGUGAUUUUGCGCGGAAAAUAUAACGGGGCUAAAGUAAGUACCGAAGCUGUAGACUUAGUUUACUAAGUGGUAGGAGAGCGUUCUAUUUGCGUCGAAGGUAUACCGGUAAGGAGUGCUGGAGCGAAUAGAAGUGAGCAUGCAGGCAUGAGUAGCGAUAAUUAAUGUGAGAAUCAUUAACGCCGUAAACCCAAGGUUUCCUACGCGAUGCUCGUCAUCGUAGGGUUAGUCGGGUCCUAAGUCGAGUCCGAAAGGGGUAGACGAUGGCAAAUUGGUUAAUAUUCCAAUACCAACAUUAGUGUGCGAUGGAAGGACGCUUAGGGCUAAGGGGGCUAGCGGAUGGAAGUGCUAGUCUAAGGUCGUAGGAGGUUAUACAGGCAAAUCCGUAUAACAAUACUCCGAGAACUGAAAGGCUUUUUGAAGUCUUCGGAUGGAUAGAAGAACCCCUGAUGCCGUCGAGCCAAGAAAAGUUUCUAAGUUUAGCUAAUGUUGCCCGUACCGUAAACCGACACAGGUGGGUGGGAUGAGUAUUCUAAGGCGCGUGGAAGAACUCUCUUUAAGGAACUCUGCAAAAUAGCACCGUAUCUUCGGUAUAAGGUGUGGUUAGCUUUGUAUUAGGAUUUACUCCGAAAGCAAGGAAACUUACAACAAAGAGUCCCUCCCGACUGUUUACCAAAAACACAGCACUCUGCUAACUCGUAAGAGGAUGUAUAGGGUGUGACGCCUGCCCGGUGCUCGAAGGUUAAUUGAUGGGGUUAGCAUUAGCGAAGCUCUUGAUCGAAGCCCGAGUAAACGGCGGCCGUAACUAUAACGGUCCUAAGGUAGCGAAAUUCCUUGUCGGUUAAAUACCGACCUGCAUGAAUGGCGUAACGAGAUGGGAGCUGUCUCAAAGAGGGAUCCAGUGAAAUUGUAGUGGAGGUGAAAAUUCCUCCUACCCGCGGCAAGACGGAAAGACCCCGUGGACCUUUACUACAGCUUGACACUGCUACUUGGAUAAGAAUGUGCAGGAUAGGUGGGAGGCUUUGAGUAUAUGACGCCAGUUGUAUAUGAGCCAUUGUUGAGAUACCACUCUUUCUUAUUUGGGUAGCUAACCAGCUUGAGUUAUCCUCAAGUGGGACAAUGUCUGGUGGGUAGUUUGACUGGGGCGGUCGCCUCCCAAAUAAUAACGGAGGCUUACAAAGGUUGGCUCAGAACGGUUGGAAAUCGUUCGUAGAGUAUAAAGGUAUAAGCCAGCUUAACUGCAAGACAUACAAGUCAAGCAGAGACGAAAGUCGGUCUUAGUGAUCCGGUGGUUCUGUGUGGAAGGGCCAUCGCUCAAAGGAUAAAAGGUACCCCGGGGAUAACAGGCUGAUCUCCCCCAAGAGCUCACAUCGACGGGGAGGUUUGGCACCUCGAUGUCGGCUCAUCGCAUCCUGGGGCUGGAGCAGGUCCCAAGGGUAUGGCUGUUCGCCAUUUAAAGCGGUACGCGAGCUGGGUUCAGAACGUCGUGAGACAGUUCGGUCCCUAUCUGCCGUGGGCGUAAGAAGAUUGAAGAGAUUUGACCCUAGUACGAGAGGACCGGGUUGAACAAACCACUGGUGUAGCUGUUGUUCUGCCAAGAGCAUCGCAGCGUAGCUAAGUUUGGAAAGGAUAAACGCUGAAAGCAUCUAAGCGUGAAGCCAACUCUAAGAUGAAUCUUCUCUAAGCUCUCUAGAAGACUACUAGUUUGAUAGGCUGGGUGUGUAAUGGAUGAAAGUCCUUUAGCUGACCAGUACUAAUAGAGCGUUUGGCUUAUCUUUAAUAAAGCAU